AUUGAACGCUGGCGGCAGGCCUAACACAUGCAAGUCGAACGAGUGGCGGACGGGUGAGUAAUGUCUGGGAAACUGCCUGAUGGAGGGGGAUAACUACUGGAAACGGUAGCUAAUACCGCAUACCAUCGGAUGUGCCCAGAUGGGAUUAGUUAGUGGGUGGGGUAACGGCUCACCUAGGCGACGAUCCCUAGCUGGUCUGAGGGGAGGACCGGCCACACUGGAACUGAGACACGGGCCAGACUCCUGCGGGAGGCAGCAGUGGGGAAUAUUGCGCAAUGGGCGCGAGCCUGAUGCAGCCAUGCCGCGUGUGUGAAGAAGGCCUUCGGGUUGUAAAGUACUUUCAGCGGGGAGGCGUUACCCGCAGAAGAAGCACCGGCUAACUCCGUGCCAGCAGCCGCGGUAAUAC
rnacentral:rRNA from 1 species